UACGGGGGGGGCAAGCGUUGUUCGGAAUUACUGGGCGUAAAGGGCUCGUAGGCGGCCAACUAGGUCGGAUGUGAAAUCCCCAGGCUCAACCUGGGAACUGCAUCCGAUACUGGAUGGCUUGAAUUCGGGAGAGGGAUGCAGAAUUCCAGGUGUAGCGGUGAAAUGCGUAGAUAUCUGGAGGAAUACCGGUGGCGAAGGCGGCAUCCUGGACCGACAUUGACGCUGAGGAGCGAAAGCCAGGGGAGCAAACGGG
rnacentral:rRNA from 1 species